rnacentral:rRNA from 1 species
UAAUUUGAAUUUACUUUUUUAUUUAAAAUAUAAAUUAUAUUGUUAUUAAUAAAAAUAAUUUGUAUUUAGUAUACUAUAGAAAAAAUUUUUUUAAUUAUAGAUAAAAGUAUUGUGAAAGAAUAUUUUAAAAUUAUUGGAAAGAAAAUUUUAUUUAUUGUACCUUGUGUAUCAGGGUUGAUUAAUUUAUGAAAAAUUUUUUUUUCUCGAAUUUUAAAGAGUUAAGUUUUUAUUUAUUUUAAUGUAUCAAAAUUAUUUAAAAUAAGAAUUUAGUAAUGAAACGUUAGUCGUUUUAAAAAAUAUCUAGUUUUUUAAUAAAUGUAUUUAAUAUAGAGAUUAAUUAAAAUAAUGAAAUUUUUAUUUUUUUUAUUUUGUUAAUUUUUUAUAAUUUUAGGGUUAAGCUUAAAAUUAAAUAAUUAAAAAUAAUUUUUUUUAUUUAAAUUUAUAGAAUUAGAAAUUUUUAUUUAUAAAAUUAUGUUAUAAUUUAUUUAAGUAAUAAAAUAUUUAAUUGUUUUUAAUUUAUUUAUUAAAAUAAAAAAAUUAAUUAUUAAUUUUUUGUAAUUAUGAUUAAAUUAGUAUAUAAAUUUAAAAUUUAAAAUUUUUAAAAAAUUAUUUUUAAGGAAUUAGGCAAUUAAAAUUUUCACUUGUUUAUUAAAAACAUCUCUUUUUGAAAAAAAUUUAAGGUUGAAUCUGCUCAAUGAAUUUUAAAUAGCUGCAGUAUUUUGACUGUACAAAGGUAGCAUAAUAAUUAGUUCUUUAAUUGAGAGCUUGUAUGAAUGAUUUGAUGAAAAAUUAUCUGUCUUAGAUUUAUAAAUAGAAUUUUAUUUUUUAGUUAAAAAGCUUAAAUAACUUUAAAAGACGAGAAGACCCUAUAGAGUUUUAUAUUUAAUUAUUUAUAGAAUAAAAGGGUUACAAAUUAUUAAAUAUUGAUAUUUAAUUGGGGUGAUUAAAAAAUUUAUUAAACUUUUAAAAAAUAUUACAUUAAUAUAUGAAUAAAUGAUCCUAAAGGAUUAAAAGAAAAAAUUACCUUAGGGAUAACAGCGUAAUUUUUUUGGAAAGUUCAUAUUUAUAAAAGAGAUUGCGACCUCGAUGUUGGAUUAAAAUUAAUUUUAGGUGUAGAAGCUUAAUAAUUUAGUCUGUUCGACUAUUAAAAUUUUACAUGAUCUGAGUUUAAACCGGUGUGAGCCAGGUUGGUUUCUAUCUUUAAAUUAAGAAGAUUUUUUAGUACGAAAGGACCAAUAAUUAAAAUUAAAUUUUUUUAUAGAAUAAUUUUA